rnacentral:rRNA from 1 species
GACGAGCGCUGGCGGCGUGCUUAACACAUGCAAGUCGAGCGGUAAGGCCUUUCGGGGUACACGAGCGGCGAACGGGUGAGUAACACGUGGGUGAUCUGCCCUGCACUUCGGGAUAAGCCUGGGAAACUGGGUCUAAUACCGGAUAUGACCUCCUAUCGCAUGGUGGGUGGUGGAAAGAUUUAUCGGUGCAGGAUGGGCCCGCGGCCUAUCAGCUUGUUGGUGGGGUAAUGGCCUACCAAGGCGACGACGGGUAGCCGACCUGAGAGGGUGACCGGCCACACUGGGACUGAGACACGGCCCAGACUCCUACGGGAGGCAGCAGUGGGGAAUAUUGCACAAUGGGCGAAAGCCUGAUGCAGCGACGCCGCGUGAGGGAUGACGGCCUUCGGGUUGUAAACCUCUUUCAGCAGGGACGAAGCGCAAGUGACGGUACCUGCAGAAGAAGCACCGGCUAACUACGUG